UGGGGAAUUUUGGACAAUGGGGGAAACCCUGAUCCAGCCAUCCCGCGUGUGCGAUGAAGGCCUUCGGGUUGUAAAGCACUUUUGGCAGGAAAGAAACGUCAUGGGUUAAUACCCCGUGAAACUGACGGUACCUGCAGAAUAAGCACCGGCUAACUACGUGCCAGCAGCCGCGGUACUACGUAGGGUGCAAGCGUUAACUGGAAUUACUGGGCGUAAAGCGUGCGCAGGCGGUUCGGAAAGAAAGAUGUGAAAUCCCAGGGCUCAACUUUGGAACUGCAUUUUGAACUACCGGGCUAGAGUGUGUCAGAGGGAGGUGGAAUUCCGCGUGUAGCAGUGAAAUGCGUAGAUAUGCGGAGGAACACCGAUGGCGAAGGCAGCCUCCUGAGAUAACACUGACGCUCAUGCACGAAAGCGUGGGGAGCAAACAGG
rnacentral:rRNA from 1 species